GACGAAGGGGGCUAGCGUUGUCCGGAAUUAUUGGGCGUAAAGGGCUCGUAGGCGGUCUGUUGCGUCGGGAGUGAAAACUUACAGCUUAACUGUGAGCGUGCUUUCGAUACGGGCAGACUUGAGGCAUUCAGGGGAGAACGGAAUUCCUGGUGUAGCGGUGAAAUGCGCAGAUAUCAGGAGGAACACCGGUGGCGAAGGCGGAUCUCUGGGCCUGUUCUGACGCUGAGGCGCGAAAGCUAGGGGAGCGAACAGG
rnacentral:rRNA from 1 species